ensembl:lncRNA
UUUUCAUUUAUUGAGUGAUUAGUUCCCUAACAUAAAGUAUUAUUAACCCUUGGAUAACUGUUAAAGAAUUACAUAUUCAUGAUUUAACUUAAAUUGGUUCAAAUGUUUUCCUCUGUAUGUUUAGUAGUUUUGUCACCUACUUUUGUCAUCUAAUUCUGGAGGUUAAUUUAAAGUUCUAGCUGAAUGAAUUUGCCAUGGAAUGUUGUUAAUCUCCCCCUCCUCAUCUCUUAGUCCUCUUCUGUUGUCAACACACUGAUCCUCUCUCCCUUCCCCACGAUCACUGCCACCUCUCCCUUGUCCCUCCUUUCAUGGCCCUCAGACUUGAACCUAGAUCGGGAGAGGAUUGGAUGCCUCUCCAUCUUUCAUGCUCACAGCUCGCACCCUUCCUCACGUGUCUUGUUCAUUCCAAAAAGCCUCGGAUGGAAUCCGGUCUUUUCUGCCCAUGAACUACUAUUCAAACGGGGAAUGAAACCUUCAUGAACGAUAUUUGUUAUGAAUAGUGAUAGAGUUCCUCAUUUCUCAACCCUAAUACCUUCUCGCACAUUUCUUAAUCACAUGACUUAUAAAGAGGCUAUUCCUAUCUUGAAACAUGGCCACAAAAGAUGCUAUAAACGAAACUAUAUUGAACUAAAGUCUCCUCGAUUGUUAUUUUUUUUCAAUUUGCGGCACAUUUAUGAAUAAAUGUGGCACAUCCAAAUACAUAUCUCCUUCGAAUUAAGUUUCAUGUGACAAGAAAUGUGUGGUUUCUCGGAUGUACUCUAUCAUGCACUGGAUUCCCUUCAGCCUUUUGUUGGACAAAACCCCAACCUCUCUGACAUUUACGUUAGAAGCUUGUAUAUCCUGCAUGAUUCUGCGUUUGUGUGCUUGUUUCAUGUAGCCAGCGGUGAACGGGAAAUUGAAAAGAAAAGAGAAAAUUAAUAAAUCAAGUAAUAUCGUGGGUUCACCUCUGACUGCUGCUAACAUUUCACUUUAUUGCUUUGUUUCUGUCUGUACAAGAGUCCUAUAUCAUUGUCUCAGUUUAUACAUGUUGUGACCAAAUGUUUGUUACUGUCUCAGUUUUUUUAAGUUUUUUUUUCUCUUUAAAUUCAGUGUAUGCAUGUGAUGCUGAUGGCCUCGUGUAUGGUGCC